UAGGGAAUCUUCCGCAAUGGGCGAAAGCCUGACGGAGCAACGCCGCGUGAGUGAUGAAGGUCUUCGGAUCGUAAAACUCUGUUAUUAGGGAAGAACAAAUGUGUAAGUAACUAUGCACGUCUUGACGGUUCCUAAUCAGAAAGCCACGGCUAACUACGUGCCAGCAGCCGCGGUAAUACGUAGGUGGCAAGCGUUAUCCGGAAUUAUUGGGCGUAAAGCGCGCGUAGGCGGUUUUUUAAGUCUGAUGUGAAAGCCCACGGCUCAACCGUGGAGGGUCAUUGGAAACUGGAAAACUUGAGUGCAGAAGAGGAAAGUGGAAUUCCAUGUGUAGCGGUGAAAUGCGCAGAGAUAUGGAGGAACACCAGUGGCGAAGGCGACUUUCUGGUCUGUAACUGACGCUGAUGUGCGAAAGCGUGGGGAUCAAACAGG
rnacentral:rRNA from 1 species